rnacentral:rRNA from 1 species
UAUAGUUAAAAAAUUUUGGAGAAGUAGUAAUAAUGAAAUUUAACGGACUUGGCGGCAAGAUAGCCAUUCAGAGGAACCUGCCCUGUAAACGAUGAACCACGAAAUACCCUACUUUUACUUGUNAACAGUUUGUAUACCGCUGUUGUCAGUCAGUUUUUUNAGANAACUUUCUAUUAUGAUAUAAUCAUAAACUUCAAGUAAAGGUGCAGCUUAUGUAAAAGAUAGAGGUGGGUUACAUUUAUUAGAAUAAAACGAAUAAAGAUUUUGAAAUCACUUUUGAAGUUGGAUUUGAUUGUAAAGUUCAAGAAAACUUGAUGUGAGCUCUAUCUUGU